rnacentral:rRNA from 1 species
AUUGAACGCUGGCGGCAUGCCUUACACAUGCAAGUCGAACGGCAGCACGGGGCAACCUGGUGGCGAGUGGCGAACGGGUGAGUAAUGCAUCGGAACGUGCCAUUGAGUGGGGGAUAACGUAGCGAAAGUUGCGCUAAUACCGCAUAUUCUGUGAGCAGGAAAGCAGGGGACCGCAAGGCCUUGCGCUCUUUGAGCGGCCGAUGUCAGAUUAGCUAGUUGGUGAGGUAACGGCUUACCAAGGCGACGAUCGUGUAGCGGGUCUGAGAGGAUGAUCCGCCACACUGGAACUGAGACACGGUCCAGACUCCUACGGAGGCAGCAGUGGGGAAUUUUGGACAAUGGGCGCAAGCCUGAUCCAGCCAUGCCGCGUGAGUGAAGAAGGCCUC